rnacentral:rRNA from 1 species
GACGAACGCUGGCGGCGUGCUUAACACAUGCAAGUCGAACGCUGAAGCUUGGGUGCUUGCAUCUGGGUGGAUGAGUGGCGAACGGGUGAGUAAUACGUGAGUAACCUGCCCUUGACUCUGGGAUAAGCCUGGGAAACUGGGUCUAAUACUGGAUACUACACUCUCUCGCAUGGGGGUGUGUGGAAAGGGUUUUACUGGUUUUGGAUGGGCUCACGGCCUAUCAGCUUGUUGGUGGGGUAAUGGCCUGCCAAGGCGACGACGGGUAGCCGGCCUCGGCGGGUGACCGUCCACACUGGGACCGGGACACGGCCCAGACUCCUACGGGAGGCAGCAGUGGGGAAUAUUGCACAAUGGGCGAAAGCCUGAUGCAGCGACGCCGCGUGAGGCAUGACGGCCUUCGGGUUGUAAACCUCUUUCAGCACGGAAGAAGCGAAAGUGACGGUACGUGCAGAAGAAGCGCCGGCUAACUACGUGCCAGCAGCCGCGGUAA